rnacentral:tRNA from 1 species
GCUUGGCUCUUGGGUUACCCACCAGCCUUCACACGGCAGGGGUCACAGGUUCAAUCCCUGUACCACCCACCA